UACAGAGGUCUCAAGCGUUGUUCGGAUUCAUUGGGCGUAAAGGGUGCGUAGGUGGUGAUGCAAGUCUGGUGUGAAAUCUCGGAGCUCAACUCCGAAAUUGCACCGGAUACUGCGUGACUCGAGGACUGUAGAGGAGAUCGGAAUUCACGGUGUAGCAGUGAAAUGACGUAGAUAUCGAGAGGAACAGCCUGCGGCGAAGGCGGGUUGCUGGGCUGACACUGACGCUGAUGCGCGAAAGCCAGGGGAGCGAACGGG
rnacentral:rRNA from 1 species